UCCUCUUCUUCUUCCUGCACGCCAGUACUACCCCUCCCAAACAGCGAUUUUUAACUCCGGCAGUUUGGUUUUCCUCCGGCGUUCCUCACUCUCCGGCGUUCUCUAUUUCUGCUUCUAGCUCCUCCCACGUGCACGUACUCCCUCCUCUCUCCCUUGCUCGUUUUUCUCUCUUCUACUCCAGCCGGCAUUGUCUCCCUCCCGGCGACCUCUGUCAUUCCGGCGGCGUCGAACCCAGGUUCAGGAAACAGGACGAACAGUUGAUAAGUUUGGAAAGUCCGUGAAAGAUAUAGGAGUUGAUCCAAUGCUUCCAGCACUGGAAACCCCUUCAGACUGGCCUCUGGAAUUUGAGAGGCAGCAAAAAAUGAUUCAUGAACUAUGGAAAACUUGCCAUCUGUCAUUAUUCCACAGAACCUACUUCUUCCUGCUCUUCAAAGAUUCAUGUGCUAUGAACGUCCCUGCAAAAUUUCAGCUCAAUCGGACCACAAACGCCCAUCGAUCGGAGCUAUUGAUCAAGACUGGACAGCAUUUCCAGAAUGCUGUUUCACCCAUGUCCGGACAUGCCUUCCCCGAGUCCGGACCUCAUUUCCAGACACUCAAAUUUUGCCCCGCAAAGCCGUGUCCGGACAGCCCAUUAACAAACCCGGACACCCCGUAAGUUUUAGGCCCAAAAAUGUGAUUUUAAGUGGGUUAGGUCUAGGGUUUUGUCGGGGGUAUAUAUACAUCAUUAUAGAAGAGAGAAGCACGAAUUUUCACCCCCAGAGAGUUCGUCAGAGGCUGUGCUAAGAGAGAUCAUAUAUGGUGAGCGUUAAAUUGAAUCUCUUAGAGUUUUAGUUAUUCUUUUGAUAAAUCUACGGUUGAGAAGUCUAUCGGAAGGGUCUGGUAAAGGAGAAUCACGUUGAAGAAGAUUGUGAGCAAGGAGACGAGUUGUAGGCUUGUCGAUCUUACAGAGCCAACGUCUUGCAAAGGGUUGUAAGUGUUCCUAGUAUUUGUAAUCUCUGGAUAAUCUUUUGAUAGUGAUUUCCUGGGUUUGGCUGCCCCGGAGAGGUUUUACUUUUAGAUCGGUUUCUAAAAGGUUUCCUCUUCGUAAUCAAAAUAUAUGUGUCUGCCUCUUUAUUGUUUUAUAUAUUUUUGGUGAUUGAAUUGUUUAUUGCUUCAUAAUAUUAAUUCCGCAUAAAUUGUAAUAAACAAGUUUUUGGAGUUGGCAUAGCGUUUUUCACAACGGAUUUCAUUUACUUGGGGGUGGAGCUAAGGAGACUGUCUUUCCUCAAGGAAACAUUUUCUAAUGGAAGUAAGACCGUGGAAGAUGGUCGGACUCUCACACUGGCUUCAAGCAUGAAGGCUCUUGGUCGUGAGAGAGAGAUGCUGAGCAAGCUGAUGCAGAGAAGGUUUCCAGAAGUAGAGAGAAAGAGACUUUUCCAGAGGUGGGGUAUUGCAUUGGACUCAAAGCGGCGGAGGCUACAGUUGGCCAACCAACUAUAGAGCAACACCAACAAUAUGAAUCACAUCAUAGAGAGUGCAGCCAUUGUUGCAAAGCUUAUCAGGUUUGUAGAGCAGGGGCGGGCAUUCAAAGAGAUGUUUGGGCUUAGCUUCAAACCUACGCUCUUCAAAGUGGUGAUCCUUUAGCUAGAAAAACA